UACGUAGGGUGCGAGCGUUAAUCGGAAUUACUGGGCGUAAAGCGUGCGCAGGCGGUUGUGCAAGACAGAUGUGAAAUCCCCGGGCUCAACCUGGGAACUGCAUCUGUGACUGCAUAGCUAGAGUACGGUAGAGGGGGAUGGAAUUCCGCGUGUAGCAGUGAAAUGCGUAGAUAUGCGGAGGAACACCGAUGGCGAAGGCAAUCCCCUGGACCUGUACUGACGCUCAUGCACGAAAGGCGUGGGGAGCAAACGGGG
rnacentral:rRNA from 1 species